rnacentral:ncRNA from 2 species
UACACCCGCGCGGGAGAGACCUGGGUCCUGAUUCUGUCAGGGUCCGUCGGCGCCGAAGAGGCAAAUCCUCCCCGGAAACUUUCAGGCAAAAGGACCGCGUGGGCAGG